rnacentral:lncRNA from 1 species
CAGGGAUUCUCACAGGAUGACUCUUACGUUUAUGAUCUGAGAGCAAUGACAUCAGCCUCUGUCUUUUUUCCGCUUUUAAUUAAUGUUCUGGAAAGAUGGGGCUGGGGAGGUUGUGAGCAUGGGGAGGGGGCGGGCUGGCGGGUGGAGUGGAACCCGCAGGCCUCUCUGCUCCAGCGGUCAGCUGAGCGCCGGCGCACAGACAUCCUUUGAUUAAGGAGGGUAUUUCGGGGAGUGCAGGCUGUGCAGAAGAUCACGGCUGUGCCCUGUGGUGCUGUCAGCAGUGACAGAUCCCAGAUGGGGCCGCUACUGUGUGGCAGAUUGAGUUUCUCAACAGAAAACUCACCCUUCCUCCUAAACGUCUUCAAAAACCUUCUCCGGAUACUCCAUCUAUCCAGGUCUCGUCGUCGUUUAAAAUAGAAACAGUCCAACCCCGAAGUUGGUUUUGACUGCGUGCCUGUACGCUAGGUUUAUUUUUUUUUUCUCUCCCUUCCUCUUUUGCUCUGUACUUCCUUCUCCUUUUUGCAUCUUCCACUCGCGAGGGCCACUCAUAGCAUAGAUGCGGUGGGUCUUGAGGAUUCCUGUUCACCAGGUUCAGGGCACCAGGUGGCCGAAUCAGCACUGAGGGGCCCCCAAAGGCAAGGCAAUUCGGUGGGUAGAAGCUCGAUGCGGGAUGAGUCUGUGGCGCGUUAGGGGAAGUCAAGGUGGACCCCGUGAGUCACACACUCUGGAACAGAGAAGCGGGGGUGGGGGUGGGGGGGGAGAUAAAGGAGGAAUCUGAAGGUACCUUGUCCCUGCUCCAGACGGCCUGGCUCUUUGGGGAGGCGGCCCGAAGUCCAAGAUAAGGGAGGCUGGCUCUUACCGCUGUGGUAGGAGUCUGUUGGGGAUAGGUGAGAGUCUGUAGGAACCAAGUACCCUUAGGAAGAGGGAGAGAGCUGCGGGGAUCCGAGCUGCGAUCUGAGCGACCUGAGCAGUGAGACCGGACUCGGGCCUUCUGAAGAUGAAACAUCUGAAACCGAGAGAGGAAUCUAGAGAGCGCGUUUUGUUCUGCUUUGCUUUAAUAAUAAGUUGUGUAUCCUUUUAAACACCUUGGCAGUGGCCACCAUCCUUCUCCCACAACUUCUCAGUCUAAGAGACCAUAGGAAUAUCCGGGGGAACUUAAAUACCUGAGAGGCCACACUCAACAUCCAAGAAACUACCCGCUGCCUCUGCAGAGCGGGGACCCUGCCGGCCCACGAGAAAUCGUCACCUUCCUCACCCAGGCAACCUGAUCGCAAGGCCGGGACCCAAGUCAGAGACUCUGUGGGUCGCCUUCCCAUUGAAACCCCGGGACCGGAGAAGUAAUGGUCUUGAUGGAAAUCUGGGGCAAAAAACUGGGAGCCUCUAGCCCCCUCCGCACCGCGGCGGAGUCGGAACCCGGAGCUCUUCUGCAUAACGUCAGCUUGCCGGGUUUGAGCCAGGCAUGGUGUCUAGCCUAAAAUAUGAGCAUUUGGAACAUGGGUACUGGAGGAUCACCAAAAGGUGCUAGCCAGGUUGGUCUUCACAGCAAGUUCCAGACCAGCCAAGACUAUACAGCAAGGCUCUCUUUCCCAAAACAAAACAAAAUGAAAGACAAAAGAUGCACGCUAGAAGAAAAAAAAAAAAGUUUAAAGCAUUGUUUUCCUUCCUGAGUAGUAGUUGCCUAACUCUAACCCCUUUAGAGUUCUGCAAAGGGGCAAAGUGCAUGGCCCACCCAGAGAGGUGUGACUGGGUGUGUGUGGAAGGAAAGGACUCUGAGAGGAAGCUAUUUCUAGGCAAGGAUCUUCUCCAUGGAAAAAAUAAUGUUCACUUCAAAACAUCUGCUAGAAACUGUUAUAUUGUAGUUUAGUCUUUCCCAGUGGCACUAAAGGCCCUUGUUCCUUGGAAUCUACCUUCCCAGUGACUUAACUGGAGCUAUAAGUGGCUUUAAAUUGGCUGGCCCCCUUGUUUGGGAGGAUGAAAGGAAGGACUCACCUAAAAUGCUUUUCUUCUCAUAAAAAUAGCAUUUCCUGGUCAGAUUUCCAAUUUAGGACCCAUUAAACAAAACAAAAAGCAAACUAUAUGUUUUUAAAUCCUAGAUUCUCCGUAGAUAGCAACUAAUACUUCCUCAAUAUGUGACAGAUGCUAAAUAAGCUACACUUAGCAUCUUUCUUGUGUAUCCUGGGGAUUGCUUCUUACUUGGUUUUGUUUGUAAAGAUGGGAUCCACCUGUAAUCUAGACUGUCCUUAAACUAAACAAGUAUUCCUCCUCCUAUGUCCCCAGUGUUGGUAUUACAAAUCUGCACCAUCUCCCCUCAUGAGAUACAUCCCUAACAAAAGGUAGGAUGUUCUUCUGAGUCAAAAUGUGUACAAAAUAGACGGGCAAAACAUUUUUCCAGCUAUCUUCACUGUCAUUCAUUGCUUUUUCAACUUCUCUAAGCUUUCUAAUAUAUGGCAACGCCAAAAGUGAUAUCAUUUCUAUGGUUCUAGCAUUGCAAGUCUCCUGGACUAUGUCUGCUCAGCUGAUGGAAAUGGGUGGGGAUGAGGAAGAUCCUUGGAGGCUUUGGAGAGGUUCACACAAAAUACAAUGUAAUUGUAGUGUAAGAUACCACCCGAUUGCAAUUUAAAUUUUACAACACAGGGGUAUAUGCAGAAAAAAUGAUCACUAAGGCUCCAUAUUUGACACUAUUCUGUGACUGAUACCAAAAAAAUAAAAAGAGGGAGAAAAGAAAGGGGAGAAAGGAAGGCAAUUAGAAAGGCAGAGAUUAUAAAAUUCUUUGGGGUGGGGGUUAAUUUUUUUCAAGACAGGGUUUCUCUGUGAAACAGUCCUGGCUGUCCUGGAACUCACUCUGUAGAGCAGAUUGGCCUCACAGAGAUCCACCUGCCUCUGCCUCCCAAGUGCAGAAAUUAUAAAAUUCUAUCUAGAGUUGUGGAAGUGGCUUUUCGUGUUUUUUGGUGUGGCUCUCCUUCCAACUCAAGUUGAUUUUGGUUCUGUAUUGUUUGGGGGGCUUAGGAUUGAGUCUCAGACCUGUCACAAGCUAAGAACUCUUUCUAUCAAUCUAUCUCUUCUUCCCUCCAAAUUGAAAACAGCUAAAUUGCUAUGUAUCAAAUAAAUCAUGAAUAAAGUGUCUCUUAUUAUAUGAGUAUUUUUUACCACGUUCUCACCUGCAGUUAAUUUGUGCAGGUUCUACAUGGAUAGGCAAAGGAUUAGGUGAUAAUAUUCACUAUAUAAAAUAAUUGAAAUAAAUUCUGAAAUGUAAUAAUCAUGCAUACUUUGGUUUUUUGAGACAGGGUUUCUCUG